UACGAAGGUCCCAAGCGUUGUUCGGAAUCACUGGGCGUAAAGGGAGCGUAGGCGGCGUGGUAAGUCAGAUGUGAAAUCCCGGGGCUCAGCCCCGGAACUGCAUCCGAUACUGCCGUGCUUGAGGGUUGGAGAGGUGACUGGAAUUAUCGGUGUAGCAGUGAAAUGCGUGGAUAUCGAUAGGAACACUCGUGGCGAAGGCGAGUCACUGGACAACAUCUGACGCUGAGGCUCGAAGGCUAGGGGAGCAAAAGGG
rnacentral:rRNA from 1 species